AAUCCAUAGGUUAAUGAGGCGAACCGGGGGAACUGAAACAUCUAAGUACCCCGAGGAAAAGAAAUCAACCGAGAUUCCCCCAGUAGCGGCGAGCGAACGGGGAGGAGCCCAGAGCCUGAAUCAGCAUGUGUGUUAGUGGAAGCGUCUGGAAAGGCGCGCGAUACAGGGUGACAGCCCCGUACACAAAAGCGCAUGUGCUGUGAGCUCGAUGAGUAGGGCGGGACACGUGGUAUCCUGUCUGAAUAUGGGGGGACCAUCCUCCA
rnacentral:rRNA from 3 species